CCAAAGUCAUUACCCUAACCCUGUAAAGGGAGGGGGAUGCCUAAGGCAGGGCUAGUGACUGGGGUGAAGUCGUAACAAGGUAGCCGUACUGGAAGGUGCGGCUGGAUCACCUCCUUUUUAAU
rnacentral:rRNA from 1 species